UACGAAGGGAGCGAGCGUUAUUCGGAAUAACUGGGCGUAAAGAGCGUGUAGAUGGUGAUAUAAGUCGAUUGUUAAAGAUCACGGCCUAACCGUGAGGAUGCGGUCGAAACUGUAUUGCUAGAGUGCAGGAGAGAGAAGUGGAAUUCUCGGAGUAGCGGUAAAAUGCGUAGAUCUCGAGAGGAACACCGAUGGCGAAGGCAGCUUCUUGGCCUGCAACUGACAUUCAAGCGCGAAAGCGUGGGGAGCAAACAGG
rnacentral:rRNA from 1 species